UCCUACACAGAUUUCUAUAUUCCAUCAUUCUUCUCAAAUGAAACUUGGACCUGCUUCUUUCCUUUUGAAUGCUGAAGGCUCCGUCUCCAAGUUCCCUUGCUGGAAGGCAUAUUAUGAAACGGGAUGUACCAUCAGAGACGAAGAGUUCGUCUAAUCCACGCAGAGAACAGCGGUGGAGGAGCGCCCACUCACUAUCUGGCAUCUGAUAGUCGUAAAAGAUGAAUGAGCGAUAGACAAGAUGAACGAGUGAUAUCUUCUUGUUGGACUGCUGGUCAGGAGUGAAACUCUACCACCCUCCUGCACUGUGCUACUGUACAUGCCAUGACUUGAUCAGAGCCUCCCUUCCCACUGGUUGUCCUUGGAGCCCUAGAAUUCUUCUGAAGACCUCAUGUCCAACACCACAUCCACUUCUGCCACUAUCAAGUAGACUCCAAAUGAAACUUACAUGUUAUGCUUGAAGAUCCCGAUCUGUGUCCUGUUCACCUCUGUAACCCCUGGCCAGGAUUCUCACAGCACUUUGCACAUCAUAGGUACUCAAUAAACAUACAAAAAUCAUACAAUCAACUUAACACCAAUGGGAUGAUUACAAGAGUGCAACAAGAGGGAAAUUAGAGGCUGAGGAUUGCUCUUCAUUCUGAAAACUCCCAGGCUUCCUGAAACUUCUUGCAGGGUUGCUGAAAGGAAUAACUUAAAGGACCAAGUUUAUACUAGGUCAGAGAGACAUCUUGGCUCCUUAGAGCUCCCUUUGUAGUUAACAAAGAGUACUAAGUAGUGUGGGUCAAGGGGCACCUGGACCUGAGCUGAAGUCAUGAGGUUCUACUGGGAGCUUCCAAGUCACUGGCGCCAGUGGUGGUUUCCUCAGUUACUCCAGACCAGCAUCUUCCCUUGGCCUUGGUUCUGGAUCUUUGUGGCUGGACACUCACCCACCCUGGCUCCACAUGAAUAAUUCAGUGAGGUGGCCCAAAGCCAGAAGCUGCCCCAGUGCCCUGGAUUCCCUUCUCAGCUCUCAGAUGGGCUUUACUAGGAGUCAGGGAGAACAUGGAUGAUGGCACUAGGAGUCAGGGAGAACAUGGAUGAUGACUCACUGUCACAUCCCUUAAGGAGAGGGAAAAAACCUGAGGGGAAGAGAUGAGCACUUGUCUCCUGUGAAGUUAAGAUACAAAAUAAUCAUCAAAAUGUGCUCAUUGGGAAUAAAAUUAGAGAUGAAUCAAAUCUAAUUAGACCUGGUGAAAUGUUUAAUUACUCUUAAUUGGCUACCUCUGAAUGUAGCUUUGCAUCUAUUUCUCAAAAAAAAAAAAAAA
rnacentral:lncRNA from 1 species